rnacentral:lncRNA from 1 species
CUAACCAAUUCUGAUCAAUCGAUCUAUUGGUAUCUAAGGCAAGUUAAUGAGAUAUGAAUUAUUUAAUUGAUUCUGUUAGCCGACCUGGCCAAUUUAUUGGCGUCUUAGGAAGGCAACGGGGGGACCCCCACCAAUCUCCACUUACCUGGCCAAUUUAGAAGAUUGGAUCUUGAAUUAGGUUGCUUAGCAAUCUGAUUUAGCCCAUGCCAGU